rnacentral:rRNA from 1 species
AUUGAACGCUAGCGGGAUGCUUUACACAUGCAAGUCGAACGAGUGGCGGACGGGUGAGUAAUGUAUCGGAAUGUGCCCAGUAGCGGGGGAUAACUACGGGAAACUGUGGCUAAUACCGCAUACCAUAGGAGGGGCCCAAAUCGGAUUAGGUAGUUGGUGGGGUAAAGGCUCACCAAGGCAACGAUCCUUAGCUGGUUUGAGAGGACGACCAGCCACACUGGGACUGAGACACGGCCCAGACUCCUACGGGAGGCAGCAGUGGGGAAUUUUGCGCAAUGGGGGAAACCCUGAUGCAGCCAUGCCGCGUGUAUGAGAAGGCCUUCGGGUUGUAAAGUACUUUUGGCAGAGAAGCGUUAUCUACAGAAUAAGCACCGGCUAACUACGUGCCAGCAGCCGCGGUAAUAC